CCCUUAGAUGUUCUGGGCCACACGCGUGCUACACUGAGCGGAUCAGCGGGUCAGGUUGCGCGAAAGCGUUUCCUAAUCUUUAAAUCCGCUCGUGAUGGGGAUUGACGGUUGCAAUUUUCUGUCAUGAACGAGGAAUACCUUGUAAGCGCGGGUCAUCAUCCCGCGCUGAAUACGUCCCUGCCCUUUGUACACACCGCCCGUCGCUCCUACCGAUUGAGUGGUCCGGUGAGGCUUUGGGAUCUGAGCGGAAAGAGCGUUUCGCUGUUUCUGCUCGGAAAACUCAGUCGAACCUUAUCAUUUAGAGGAAGGAGAAGUCGUAACA
rnacentral:rRNA from 1 species